CUUCAGCGAGCCGAGCCACAGCGGGCGGCCGUCUUCCGGCCGUUCCUGCCCGUAGGUGUUCAGCAGGGCCUGCGCCUC
rnacentral:antisense_RNA from 1 species